GGGUCCUGGGGUGUCAUCACGUUAGAUUGCAAAUCUUAAGAGGUAGCUUAGUUGUCUACCGGGGCCU
rnacentral:tRNA from 1 species